UACGAAGGACCCGAGCGUUAUCCGGAUUUAUUGGGUUUAAAGGGUGCGUAGGCGGAUUGAUAAGUCAGUGGUGAAAGCCUCCCGCUUAACGGGAGAAUUGCCAUUGAUACUGUCAGUCUUGAGUAUGGUUGAGGUGGGCGGAAUGUGUCAUGUAGCGGUGAAAUGCUUAGAUAUGACACAGAACACCAAUUGCGAAGGCAGCUCGCUAAACCAUAACUGACGCUGAUGCACGAAAGCGUGGGUAGCAAACAGG
rnacentral:rRNA from 1 species